rnacentral:rRNA from 1 species
UACGUAGGGUGCGAGCGUUAAUCGGAAUUACUGGGCGUAAAGCGUGCGCAGGCGGUUUUGUAAGCCAGAUGUGAAAUCCCCGGGCUUAACCUGGGAAUGGCAUUUGGGACUGCAAGGCUCGAGUGCGGCAGAGGAGACUGGAAUUCCUGGUGUAGCAGUGAAAUGCGUAGAUAUCAGGAGGAACACCGAUGGCGAAGGCAGGUCUCUGGGCUGACACUGACGCUCAUGCACGAAAGCGUGGGGAGCAAACAGGAUU